CGGAGCCGCUUCCGCAAACAGAGUCGCGGACGGCUGGACGUGUUAGUUCAUGAAGUUUUACCAUCUAUUUAAGUAAUCAAAAAUGGAAAAUUCUGCAAAAGCAGAGGAAUGUGAAAAGAUCUCUCGUGAAGAGGCAAAAACAUCAAUAGAUUCAGAAACAGAGUCUUCAUGCAUUGUUAAUGAAAACGCAACCUCUCCUGGGACUGGGCUUUCUGAAAAGGCUCCUAAUUGUGGGCAAGUAGACACUCCAAAAAAGAGAAAAAUGGAGUUUGAAGAUGAUCUUGUAAAGGAAAGUUCUAGUUGUGGGGAAGACACUCCAUCCAAGAAAAGAAAACUUGAUGCUGAAAUUGCCCCAGAGGAAAAAGGUUCUGGUGGUGAUGAAGGCAUUUCAAGGAAAAGAAGAAUGGAAACUGAUGGUUUUCCAGAAGAUGAACCUACUGGAGAUGGCACUCAGAAAAGGAGAAAAAUAGAACUUGAAGAUGUUCCUGAAAAGCAAAAGAACUUGGAAGAAGGACACAGCUCAGCAGUGGCCGCUCACUACAAUGAACUCCAGGAAGUUGGUUUGGAGAAGCGUAGCCAAAGUAGAAUUUUUUACCUAAGAAACUUUAAUAAUUGGAUGAAAAGUGUCCUCAUUGGAGAAUUUUUAGAAAAGGUGCGACUGAAAAAAAAACGUGAUAUCACUGUUUUGGACCUGGGAUGUGGUAAAGGUGGAGAUUUGCUCAAGUGGAAAAAGGGAAGAAUUGACAAGCUCGUUUGUACCGAUAUUGCUGAUGUUUCUGUCAAACAGUGUCAGCAACGGUACGAGGACAUGAAAAAUCGUUGUCGUGAUAAUGAAUAUAUUUUCAGUGCAGAAUUUAUAACUGCUGAUUGUUCAAAGGAACUUUUGAUUGAUAAGUUUCGUGACCCAGAAAUGUGCUUUGACAUCUGCAGUUGUCAGUUUGUCUGCCAUUACUCAUUCGAGUCCUAUGAGCAGGCUGACGUCAUGCUCAGAAAUGCAUGUGAGAGACUGAGCCCUGGAGGCUAUUUUAUUGGUACCACUCCCAAUAGCUUUGAAUUGAUAAGACGCCUUGAAGCUUCAGAAACAGAAUCAUUUGGAAAUGAAAUAUAUACUGUGAAAUUUCAGAAGAAAGGAGCUUAUCCUUUAUUUGGCUGCAAAUAUGACUUCAACUUGGAAGGUGUUGUGGAUGUCCCUGAAUUCUUGGUCUAUUUUCCAUUGCUAAAUGAAAUGGCGAAGAAGUACAAUAUGAAACUAGUCUACAAAAAAACAUUUCUGGAAUUCUAUGAGGAAAAGAUUAAGAACAAUGAAAAUAAAAUGCUGUUAAAACGAAUGCAGGCCCUGGAGCCAUAUCCUGCAAACGAGAAUUCCAAACUUGCAUCUGAGAAGGCGGAUGACUAUGAACAUGCAGCAAAGUACAUGAAGAACAGUCAAGUGAGGUUGCCAUUGAUUCACCCUUUGGUUGAGAAUCAGUGGUUUAGAGAAUUGGCAGGAGCGCGAAAGUGGUGAGAAGAUGGCAUUAAAGGGAACCUUAAGUAAAUCAGAAUGGGAAGCUACAAAUAGGAAAGCAGGCAAAUAGCUUGGCUGAGGUCAGAGAGCUAGCCCAGGUGCUCCACACUCGCAGCCAUGGCCUCAUGGACACCCACGGAAAGGAAAAUUCUUAGAACUUGCUGAAUUGGAGAGAGAGGAAAAGGGAAGAAGGCACACUUUGAUCCAGUUUCAGAAUAUUGGUGACCUCGGUAGAAAUGGGAUUGGAAGAUAUUAGAGACGUAAUCUCUGACAAACGUAGAAAUAUGUGCAGAAACCGACACAUUUCUUUGGUUUCCCUGGAGUGGAGAUAUGCCAACUACCUUAGAUGUCCCACCAAUUCCAAAGUGCCGUGUAACAGAACGACCUAGGUCAAAGGUCGUGAUGGUGGUGCUGGCUGCAGAUGAGCACUGUAUUUUUAUAUUAAACAUGGACUUUAGCAGUAAUAUACAAGUGAAGAAUUAGAUGCUCCCAGACAGUUGAAGAAGAGGUGGGUUAGAGAGGAGAAAAGCAAUAGGAAAGGAACAAUGGCCAAAGGGCAACCAGGGUCAGUGUGUCAGGGUCCAUCUGCCCUGUGAUGAAUUACAUUUUUCUAACCUGGAGGGCUUUGUGGGCUGGUGCCACAGUCUAAGAAGCUAUAUUUUAGACUCCUACUGGUCUAAUCAUUUAGCUCGUAUUACCAGAGCCUGCUGCUCCUCUAGAAGAUGCUUUAAAUGUGGAAGAAAAGAGAAUUGUUGCUGAUCUGCUUUUAGAAGUGGUUUAAGUUUCUUUUGUUUAAAUCCCAGUUGAAAUGCUGGCACAGAAGGUGUUUUAUAUAAUUAGUGAGACUUCCAGAAUUUUUGAGUAAGAAAGGAGAGAAAGUUAUUCAUUGCUGAUCUGAAACUAAGCGCUGGUUUUAUAUGACCCUAGAUCCAGGCAGGUCAGGACUGCCAGGUUAUCUGCAGUGGGUAUAGAUGUGUUAGGGGUGGGUUUGGCAGCGUUUGCUGCAGAAAGAGCACUUGGAGUGCACGGCAAGCUCAGCAAUGCCGGCCUGUCCUGAGCCUCAGGACUUGCCAGUGAGUGCUUUAGGCUGCUCUGCUUCCUUCCCCUCAAGAAGAAUCCACAGUGUUGAUGAUCACCCUGCCUAUUUUCUCCCCAUCUGUCUAUUCUGCUGCCAGCCAUAUUUAUUUCUCCUAAAAGACUCAGGAGCUAGAGAAUGAGUAAAGAAUAGCAUGACCAGAAUGAUGUUAGGGGAGACUGCCAUGGUGCUCCUGUGCAGGCUGGGUUGGAGAGGCCGAGGACUCGAGGAUUGGGAGGCCCUUAUGUGGUCUGCUGUCCUUCAUCCGUCCCCUGUUCUACCGUUGACCCAAGGGGCGAGGCCUCCUCAUCACGUGGCUUCUUAUCUCGACUUGCUGGGUGAAUGUUCUAGUGAACACCCUGAACAUUUUUGUGAUGUUUUGAGGAUUUGUCUUCUCAGUCGUUUUCAUAAUCAUAAAAUCUAUCAGUAUCUUAAAAGAAGAUAUAAUAAGUUUGAACUUCAGUGUGGUUCAGAAUGGGGAACCAUAGAUGCAUUUAGAUGUCUUUGAGUGAACACAUCAAAGCCGGAAACCUUAUUUAAGGGAGAGUGCUCUUGGGGCUGGGACUGUCGAUUGUCAUGUGGCUUUUGGCUCACUUUCCUUACCAGGCCCUACGACACAACCACUGGAUAACUGGAUGAAUUUUAACAUGCACGUUAUAUGUGUUCCUUACCAUUUUUAUUAGGGUUUUUUUCCCCUCCUGAGUAGCAAACUUAGAUUACCCCUGCACUCAUAGUAGUGCAGUUAUUCCAGGUAAAAAGAAUUAAAUCAUAAGGUUUUCCAGUUUUCAUUUUCUUUGCUUUUAUACUUUUUUUUUUUCCUCAAACGGUCAGUAGAGAUUUUUAGAGCUGUUAAAUUGGUUUUCUCCAGGGCUGUGAUGUGGAGUAAGUGGAUAUUUGUGUUCAAGUAAGCAGAUAUGAUCCCAUAUCUGCCUAAGUAUGACUCAAAAUUAUUGAAGAACUCCUAGAAAUAAUGGAACUUUUCCUUUUCAAAAGCUGCUUGAGAAUUUUCACCAAAUUAUGAACAAGACCAAGAUUGUUGCCCUGAGGAUGUGAGAAACCAAGCUCUAACUUUUAUUGGUUUUCUUUUCAGGUAUUUACUUGGUUUUUGCAUUUGAGAAGCAGCAGUGAGCACAUCACAUAUGCAGUAGCACCAGAACAGCUGUGUUCUUUCUUGUACAGAUUUGAAUGGUCCAUCUUCCAUAGAUCUGACAUCCUUGUUUAAUUUAAUUAUUCUCAACGUGCAGGAUGCUGCUGGAAACUACAGUGUAUAAAUUCAACAUUUGCUGUCUGUGACAGAUGAACUUUGUGUGUGUAUAUAAGAGUGAGUCGGGACCUUUGUCUUUAAAAAUCUAUUUUUAAGUAAUGUUCUAAGAAUUCCAUUUGCCUCCACUCUCUUAGCUCAUAAAAAUUAUAAAAUGACUUGUUAAAACCUCUGAGUUCUUUCGCCAGUGCUCUGCUUUGUCCAGUGUUUAUUUACAGUAUUAAAUUUAUUGCAGUUGUAGAACUGGUGAGAGAGUGUACUGAUUCGGAGGUGUGUGUACUUAUUUCCUUAGUUUUGUUAGUGUUUUUCAAGAUUAAAUGAAUUGCGUUCUGUACAAUUGAAUGUAAGUGUUCAAUAUGUAUUGCUAAAAUUAUAAGUUUAAAACUAAAUUUUAGAUGGUCAUAAAAAUUACCUAGAAUUUUAACCAGUUAUUAAAUUUCAUUAUAAAUAAUAACUACUUCAUUUGCUAAUAUGAUGCAGUUUUAGAACUAGAUAGAACAUUUCAAAUUCCAGCAUAAAAUUGUUUUGGAUUUGGGGAGCUUUCUCUUAAGAGUUUCUUACAAUAGCAAUGAAUGUUUCUAAUUAUCAAGGAUGUAAUUCAUAUCUUUACUGAACCAAAAUGCCGUAGGUGCUUUUCUCAACGUUUGGUGAACCUCUCCCAUGUGAACCUGUUUGCACAUUUUCUUCAGCUUUAUAUAUGGAACUGCAGUUGGGGUGGCGGGGUGGGGAGCAGGCGGCAGCGUGGUGGUAAAGGAAGCUGACUGAGAGACUUCGUAGGAAUUCACCCUGAUGAUGGGUCUGGGUUACGAGUGCUGCAUGCUGUAGAUCCGUUACCCCCUUUGGCCCAGAAACAACCAGUACCUGCUCCUCUGUCACCACGUUGUACUUGGCACAGUGGGUCUGGCGUCUCGUCCCCAUUCACAAUUUGCAUGUGCCAUUUCAGAACCCUUAAGAGUUAUCAGCCCUGGCUUCUUGUGUGACUCUUCGGAAACUGACACCAGUGUGAAUUGUUUUUCUUAAUUUAUCACUGUUUAGAAAACUUGCCAGUUUUUUAUAUGUAGUGAAAAAUUUAAAGAGCAAAGCAGAGCAAUUUAUACAUGCUCCUUUAAAAAUCACUUAUUUCAUGCAUGGUUUUUAAAGACAUUUCUUUCUGUAAUUAUCCAGAGAACUUGUUAAAAAACUGUAGUCUCUUAAUUUGUUUAUGUGUGUUGAUUGUUCACGGUGUUAGAGUAGCAGACCUUCUAGCAGGACAACACAGGUUACCUAACUUCCAUUCCUUCCACAAUCUGUCCAUCUCCAGACUGUUACCAUUUCUGACAGAGAUGGUCAUUUGCCUUAGUGGUGGUUCACCAUAAGUCAUUGGGGAAAAUAAAUAGUAGCAGUUCUGCCUGGUGGCUGCCAUUCACCAGCUGCAGUUUGGUGCUGGUGCUGGGGAGGUGGGGGUGGUGAGCUCUUGGUGUUACAUGCCCAGGUUCAUUUCAGUUCUGGGGGAGGUGCCAGAAAGUAUUGUGAUAGUUUGGGUAGAGUAUGAAAAACUUCUCUGUUAUUUCCUACCACUGUCCUCAUGUAAUGGUCUUAGUUUAUUCUAAGCAAGUCAUAAGGCAUAUUUUUAACCUUCUUCUGCUCUCUCCUACUCCAUGGGUAAUUUGGGAGAGAGAAGAAUCCCCAAAGGAUGGAGUAAUUUGUGAUGGCAAAACCAAGAGGAAAGGAAGGUGGGGUCCCCAGGCCUUUAGUGGAUAGAAAGGUGCACAGAGAGCUGGAGUGGGCUCUCGGUCUGAGCGGUCUGGCAUGUGUGGAGGGGUGUGUGGAGCCUCGCCAGAGGGUGCGGCAUCCCAGCCAUUGCCCUUCGAGCUUUGGUGGCCUUGUUGCCUUCUCUGCUCUUCCUUCCUGACGUCUCCUGCUGCAGUUAGGUGUCUGGGCAGUGAUUGAAGAAGAACUGCCAUCACCAGGGUAAAAGCUUGUGGGACGAUUCCACACACAUCUGCAGUCUAAAUAUUUGGUGAUUUUCUAUCCAAGACUAGUGGAAACUGUUAGGAGUGGUAGGAUGGCUUUUCAUUGUCAAGCCAGUGAUGUAAGCUGCUCUUGGAAGUGGCUCAAGGGCAUUUUCAGACCUGCCAUUCAGUUUGUCCUCUGUGGAUGAAAGUAGAAGUGAGAAUCAGCUACAGCAUUUGUGGAAAGAAAUUGUGAGGAAUGGGCUGGGAAACUGGCUGGUUGUGGUGUAACUGAGAGCACACAAAUGGAACUCUUUGGGCCUGGAAUCCAAUAAAGCAAGGGCCCCACGUAGCCAGUGUUCACGGAGAGAACCUGGCCGUUUCCCACUGCAUUCUAAGGGGGUUGUCGUAAUCUGCGGGUGGUGACUGUGCACUUGGGCCACCAAGCCUCCACUCCAGUGUGACUCCCCAGAGAAAUUUGCCUUCAGAGAGAGAAGGAUUGAUUAGAGACUGUGACUUAAAUUAACUAAUCUUUGUGAUGACUCUGAAAGGUAGAUUAUCAGUACAGGGUUUCCUAGCCUACCCCUCCCCAAACUUGGAAAUUGAGGAAGUAUGAUUGCUACCUGAAUUCACGUUAAUAGUAUUUAUAGGGCAUCAGAGCAGAGUGGUGGGGUACAAGUGAGAUGGGCUUGUAGGUGGGAGUGAUGUGCAUCAGCAGAGGAGAGACCACAGAAGCACUGUCAGCUGUCAGCUGUCUAGAUCUGCAGUCCCUUUAGCUCUUCUGGGUAUUUAUUCAGCCUGUCUUAGUUUAUUGCAUUAUGUUAUUUUGGUAAGUCUUCAAGUAUCCUAAUGAGGAUUUGGCUUCUUGUGCAAAUCUGCCUGUGGGGAAGUACUGCCAGUGUAAAUAUUCUAGCUACUGAACAUGAUUAAUAGGAAGUGACUUUUUGUUGUCUACCUCAGGUUUUCAAAGUAGAGGCCAGACCCAGGGACCACGGCCCUGUAGUAACAGUUGUACCGUAAUGCCCAUGGCCGUUUGGUCAAACAGGAAGCAUGGAUGUAUGAUAUCACCACCUCCCUGGUCGAUGUUACAUCAAAUGCUACACACCUGAUAGGAAGUUUCUUCAUUUCUCAACCUCUGACAACAGCAUUUCAUUGAAGGCAGUCAAUAACAGUGGCUGAUGCAUGCAUUUAUUUAAUGAUAGACUUAUUUAGUAGAUAUACGUGGGGCUGGGGGACAGCCAGCUCUUCUCCACCUCAUGUCCUUCCCAGUUCCUCCUCCGUUCCCAUUUAGCCCUGGAGCAUGUGUGCCUGCUUCUCACUGCACUACCUAACAAAUAUAGGGCACACAGGAGUACUCUCCUGGGUUUGCCUGGCGAGACUUGGGUGAGCUCCAAAGCCCUCUGCUACCUAGACUUACCCUAGGCCAUGUGUUCUUGGGGACAGUGUACCCUGGGUAAAGCCAUGUUGACAGCUAACAUUUACUAAGUUCCUCCCUUAUGUCAGUCACUUUUCUAAAUGUAUUAUAUGUGAUCCUUACAACAACUGUGUGAGGUAAGCACCAUUAUCCCUGUUUUAAUGAUGAGGAAAUCGAGAGACAGAGAGGACACAAAGUUGCCCACGGCAAAGCCAAGAUUUGAACACCCCAUAACCCCCAGGUCGGGCCUGCACUGCAGUUGCACAUUACAUGCCUCCAGGGCGUUAGGCCUAAAGGACUCCUUGCUCAUCUGCUACCUGCAACUGGAAACAUUAACUAUUGGAGCUCCAUCCUUUGGGUGCAAAACUGAUACUUACUUAAAUGUUCCCUGAGAGGAGCAUUUACUCCUGAGUAAGGAUUUGGGGCAGAGAGAGCAGGAGGGCCCUUGAGUGUACUAGGGAGGAGGGUAAAAAGUGAAUAAUUCAUAGGCAGGAAGGCAGAGGUUUAAACUAGGAUUUCACAUUUUGGUAGGCCUAUUCCUUUAGCAGCCAGACCUAGAGCAAAUCUAGUUUGUUAGGGGCUGACACCAUUUGGGAGUGGCAGUUAGGAGUUGAGAGGAUGGCCGAGAGGAAUCAUCUCUUCAGUCUGAGCUGAUUAUCCAGGCAGAGGCACAUUAUUUUGUUUUAACUUUUUAUUGAAGAGUAACAUAUAUAUAUAUAUAAGUUGGUGUUUUUCGCAAACGGAAAACAUGCAUAUGGUCAGCACCCAUAUCAAACAAUACAGAAGCCCCUCCUGCUCCCUUCCAGUAGCUGCCUCCCAAGGGUAACCGCUAUCUCAACUUCUAAGAGCAUAGGUUACUUUUGUCUGUUUUUGGAUGUUAUAUGAAAAGAAUCAAACAGUAUAUAUUCUUUUGUACUGGCUUAUUUGGUCUACAGUGUGUGAGAUUUUUGUUGCAUGUAUUUGUACAUGGUUCUUUUUCGUGGCUGUAUAGUAUUCCAUUGUGUGAAUAAACCACGUUAUUUAUCCAA